AAGGAUCAAGUAAUCGCUACAGGCUUACCAGCUUCACCUGGGGCUGCUGUGGGCCAAAUUGUAUUUACUGCAGAGGACGCUGAAGCAUGGCAUGCCCAAGGGAAAGCUGCUAUCCUGGUAAACACCAUUUUAUCCUCAUUUUUAAGAAAAAAAGGUCUUCUGCAGUUUUUGUGUCAUUUUGAUCUGGACUUUGUGCUUCGAUGAAAAGAUCUGUUAAUUGAGCAAAACUGGUCUAUUUACUGGACCUGUUAGAAUAGUUGCUUGCAGAGUUACAGUCACAAAAAUCCCACUUAUCACAGACAGCCAUUUUUGAAAUGCAUAUGGAAGCUCCAAGUCGUAUCGCUUCAUCUUUUGCAUUCUGAGAAUUUUUUCUUUGCAAAUAUAUAGGUGAGGACAGAGACCAGCCCAGAGGAUGUUGGUGGCAUGCACGCAGCUGUUGGAAUUCUUACAGCAAGAGGUGGGAUGACCUCUCAUGCUGCUGUGGUAGCACGUGGUUGGGGAAAAUGUUGUGUCUCAGGAUGCUCAAGCGUUCUCGUAAAUGAUGCUGAGAAGGUGAAUAGAAUUCUUGUUUGCACAUCUUCUUCUUUGUAGAAGGUGACAUGCCAUGUUAAAGUUUGUAACAGGAUUAUGACAUUCUUUGUAGAUGUGCUCCGUCCGCCAUUUUUAAGUUCUUAUUAACGAGAUUUUGAGGAUGUAGAUGUUUCCUUACUUUGCUAUGUCUACAUUUACAGUCUGUAGUGAUUGGAGACAAGGUGAUGCAUGAAGGUGAGUGGCUAUCACUGAAUGGAUCUACUGGUGAAGUCAUCGUGGGGAAGCAGCCACUUUCCCCACCAGUCCUCAGUGGUGAUCUGGGAACCUUCAUGUCCUGGGUAGAUGAAGUUAGGCAACUGAAGGUAAAUUCCUAGAAAUAACAAAUAUGUAAUAUUAGUUAAAACAUGGAUACAAACUGUUGGAAGUAGAAACCAACAAAAAGGGCAUCAGAUUAUUUAUUCAGACAGGCCAAAGCUAGUCAACCCCACUACACAUUUUUCAACAGAAAUGCUUAUUCGUACAUAUGAUCCACCUUCCAGGUUUUGGCUAAUGCGGAUACCCCUGAGGAUGCACUGACAGCAAGAAACAAUGGGGCAGAAGGAAUUGGACUAUGCCGGACGGAGCACAUGGUAUGUAUUUUAGUUACUGUCCAAUAUCUUUUGGGUGGGAUCUUGGAAAACUUACUCUUUCUUGAAUUCCUUCGUCGAACAGUUGGGUAAACUUUAAGGACCUCCCGUUCUAGUCUCAUGUUCUCCUUUUCUGCACUUUGGCAGUUCUUUGCUUCGGAUGAGAGGAUUAAGGCUGUGAGGCAGAUGAUUAUGGCUCCCACACUUGAACUGAGGCAGAAGGCACUAGAUCGUCUUUUGCCUUAUCAGAGGUCUGACUUUGAAGGCAUUUUCCGUGCUAUGGAUGGUAUGUGAAAAUCACGAUGCAUUCAUUUACAUGCUCUCCAAUUGAACUGGAUGCACUAGUGUUACUGAACAUAACAAGAGUAAGCAACCUUCUUAAAUAGACAACAUUGACUACUAAUGUAAAGUGAAAAGGUAGACAAGUUUUAAACCUUAGGAUGCAAAAUACUUCAAAAAUAAGAACGAAAUUGGGCCAGUAACAUAUUGCAUCAAUUAUUUAACUUGGUAACAUAAAGUUCUGCUAUGAUUUAUCCAUUAGUUUUUUUUAAUCUUUUAUAGCGAGUGGUAUAUGUACAUGUUUCAUGGAAACAGAUAUAGAAUUAAACUACUAGAAUAAAUUUUAACAUGUAUUGUAGUUAGUUCCACAGUAUGUAUUUUAAAGUGCGGAAUGGAUUUGAACAUUAUUUUUUUUGCAUUUCAGGGCUUUCAGUGACUAUUCGGCUUCUGGACCCCCCACUUCAUGAGUUUCUUCCUGACGGGAAUGUUGAAGACAUUGUGCGUGAAUUAUGUUCUGAAACUGGAGCCAAUCAGGAGGAAGCCCUUGCAAGAAUUGAAAGUCUUUCAGAAGUAAAUCCAAUGCUUGGUUUCCGUGGGUGCAGGUUGGUUUUUGUGCUCCGUUUAAAUCAGUCACCCCCCCUCCUUGAUCCAUUUGGUUCCCUUGUUAGUGAAAUAUUAAAAAGAAUAAACUCUGUAUAUUUACCUCGACUAAUAUUGGAACUGCUAAAAUUCCAGGCUCGGUAUAUCAUAUCCUGAGCUAACAGAAAUGCAAGCCCGUGCCAUCUUUGAAGCUGCUAUAGCGAUGACCAACCAGGGUGUUCAAGUUUUCCCAGAGAUAAUGGUUCCUCUUGUUGGGACACCUCAGGCAUGCAUCUUUAUUUCCUUAUUUGUGCAUAUGGUAUCUCUGCAGUUCAUGGUGUUCAAAAUGACAAAAUCAAAAUUGAAUAAACAACCAAGUUCUGUACACAUGUAAUUUACGAUUUUAUGCAAACAUCAAGUUGACCUACACCCAAUUUCCCACCAAAUUCAUUUCUUGAAAUUUUCUCUCUCGAAUUCUAAGUUUAUUGCUUUCACUUGAUUUUUCCUUCAGACAUCUGACAUUUGACUUUUGCAGGAACUGGGGAAUCAAGUGGCCCUUAUCCGUGAAACUGCUAACAAAGUUUUCGCUGCUCUGGGUAAAACCAUUGACUACAAAAUUGGAACUAUGAUUGAAAUUCCGAGGGCAGCUCUAGUAGCUGAUGAGGUAGGAAGCAUCUAACUCCCUUCAGAAUAAUCUUAAAUAUUGCUGUUUAGGUUUAGCUUUUAGAUCAUAUUUUUCAUGAAUGGUUUAGUAAUAGAACCCCGGAUUUUUACUCUAAAACAUGUGAAUAGUAACUGAUGGUAUGAAUUUAUUAAGUGCAAAUAAUAAGUUUAUCCUCUAAUUUAAAAAAAAAACUGACAUUCUUGUUUUGGUUUCACAACCUGACAGAUAGCAGAGCAGGCUGAAUUCUUCUCUUUUGGAACGAACGACCUCACACAGAUGACAUUUGGCUACAGCAGGGAUGAUGUGGGGAAGUUUCUUCCCAUUUAUCUGUCUCAGGGUAUCCUCCAACAUGAUCCCUUUGAGGUAAAAUUUUAGCAGCUCUCACCCUUCAGUUUUAGAUGAUAUACCUGCAUUUUCAUCAUCCACUCUUGUUUUUCAAGGAAUAUUUCCAUCAUCCACAGAUGCGAGCAUCUCAUGUCCUCUAGGCAUUUUUCAUGUCCUUGACUUUUGGUUACGUGCAUGCUCUGGUAAAAUUCAACCUAGUAACUUGCCCAUUGAAUGUUGAUAAACAUAUCAGGUGCUGGAUCAGAGGGGAGUGGGCGAGCUGGUUAAGUUUGCUACAGAGAGGGGUCGCAAAGCUAGGCCUAACUUGAAGGUUAGUUUUUGGGACUUGUGGACAUUGGCUCUUUUCCUUAGAAAUCAUGGUUUCAUUGUUUGGUGCUGUCUGCAAACAGGUGGGCAUCUGUGGAGAACACGGUGGGGAGCCUUCGUCAGUUGCAUUCUUUGCAAAGUCGGGGCUGGAUUAUGUUUCUUGCUCGCCUUUCAGGUUGGUCAAGUGAUAAACUCAAGAUACAACUCCCAGAUUCAUAACUGUAGCAAAACCUUAACUACUUUUUAUGAAAUAUCUUGUGCAGGGUUCCCAUCGCCAGGCUAGCUGCAGCUCAGGUGCUCGUCUGAGGGCACCGCCUCAUCGGCAACCGGAUCACCUGCUGUUGGUGCGUCUGGUGAAGAAUACUAAUACAAAGCCAUGGAACGGUGGAACUCUGCUGCCUGGCAAAGGCCGUUGUAUCUUGUAUGAAGUCUCCGUGCGCGUGCGCAUGUAAGACUUAAUGUGUGGUUUUCUGCAUUUUCCCUUGAACUACCAUGGUAAUGUAGUACCAAACAGAGAUGAUGACGAAGAACAAUCGAAUAAAUUAAUUGGCGAUUAC
rnacentral:lncRNA from 1 species